rnacentral:lncRNA from 1 species
GAGAAAAUAGAAUUGAGGAAGUUAAAGGAGGCUGAGUGGUCUGAAACUGGUAAAACAAGAUCAAUUAAUUUUUUCUUGGGCCUAAAGCUUUCCUAGGCGUCGUAUGUAUUGCCUACUUGUCUUAAAAAUGGUGAACAUGCAUAUUAAUUCCAGCUUUAAAGAGAAGACGCAGUUAACCAAACUUGUGUUAUUAAAUUAGACAACUGGUGAGGUGUUCAUCAAUUGCAACUUAGAUGAAAUAAAAAAUUCUAAGUAACAUGAUAUCUUAUGCACAUAAAGCUCCUAAAGCUCCUAAAGCAUGGUCUCUAAAUGCAGUAGUGAUUUUAUAAUAGAUAUUUGCUGAUUACUAUUUGAUUACAAAGAGUAUAACAAUCUGAAAGUAAAGAGCCUAAGACAACAUAUCCAGAUGCAAGAUGCAUGUCCUACACAUGGUUUCUAUUGCACAAAUAGGUAUGUAAAGCCCUAUAGACAUGUUCUCUACCCAUUAACUAAACCAAGCAAGCAUAAUCUCGUCCAAUUCCACUAUAGCCCCAGUUAGUUGUUUACUAGUUAUUACAAACCAUGAUAGCUGAAUUACAUAAUGAAAAAUAAAAUAAGAAGUUACUCUGUAGGGAUCCUUCAACCAAGCCCAAUCUUCCAACCUCACUUCUUUCGAGUUUCACAGCCUUGGCCGUGGUUUAGGGACGACAAAACUCCCUAAGGCCCAUUGGGGUCCUUGGCCAAUACCAGCACCCAAACACCACCAAAAUGUUGAACAAGUGCAGUGUGAAAUUACCAACCUUGUGCAUUAGAGUUCAAUGUGUACUCAAAGGUGACCAAGGCAAUGCUUACACGAAGGCGGUAGAACCUAAAUUCUGGGAGUAGUGAGAGUGUGAUAAGGAUUUUUUUCUAAGAAAUUGAAAAUAGUUUAAUAAUGAUCAAUAUAGAACCAGUUUUAGAAGAAAACAAUGUGACAAUUCUAGCAACCUCAUAACCAAAAUAUCACAUAUACUUCAGGGAAGUAAACAUAAAUAGGGAAAAAGGGAAAUGGUGACAAGUAGUUCACAUGUAAGGACACACACAACAUUUCAGGACACUUAAAUAGUCACACCAGGUUUUAAUCAAAAGGGCUCAGGAUUACAUGCUGAUAAGGUACUGGGGGUAGGGGAGAACAUGCAUUAAGCCAAUCAGUAGGCAUGCUGAAUUAAGAGAAGGAUAGUCACAUUAAUGAAAUAACAUAGGGGAAUGUUAGUUGCAAUUGAGAAUAACAGAACCAUAAGUAAAAGCAUAGAAAAAACAAAAUAAAGUGUAGUAUGUGUAAAAACAUAUUGUUUUUGAAGCUGUUAGUCAAAUAGAGGGCAUUCCAGUCAAGGAUGAGAUAAUAUAGAGCAUUAGUGUGUAGGGAUGUACAGCAGUAGUAUGCAGGCCAAGCAAGUAGCAAUAUAUAGAGUAGUAGAAUAGAAGAGCAGCCCAAAAUCACUCAGUCUUGGCUUUCAGCAGACUGAGUAACCAAUAGUCAAUAGGGGAAGUGAGAGGGGAUGUGUAGAGAACAAUAGAGAACAAUGAGUAUGCUUAUGUGUGCAAGAGAGAGUUCGGGACAAUGAAUUUUGUUCGUGUGUCUAUGCUAAAGAGAGGGUAGGGCAUUUAUAGUUUUGAAAAUAAGUGGAAAAUAAGGUAAUACAUAUAGACCGAUUACAAUUAUAGAAAGAGUACCUAUUAGAAUCAAUUAAAGACUCGAAUUUCCUUCAAUAUAGUCCUAGCUCAAACGAUACAAAUUUCAUCAAAUAAGGAAGAUGUUUGCAAGACUGACAUUUCCUUAACAAGAAUAGCAUGAAGCAUGUAAUAAUGACUAAGUACAAA